UACGGAGGAUCCAAGCGUUAUCCGGAUUUAUUGGGUUUAAAGGGUGCGUAGGUGGCUUUUUAAGUCAGGGGUGAAAGACGGUAGCUUAUCUAUCGCAGUGCCUUUGAUACUGAAGAGCUUGAAUGAACUAGAGGUAGGCGGAAUGUGACAAGUAGCGGUGAAAUGCAUAGAUAUGUCACAGAACACCAAUUGCGAAGGCAGCUUACUAUGGUUUUAUUGACACUGAGGCACGAAAGCGUGGGGAUCAAACAGG
rnacentral:rRNA from 1 species